UACGGGGGGAGCAAGCGUUGUUCGGAUUUACUGGGCGUAAAGGGCGCGUAGGCGGCCAGCGCAAGUCAGUUGUGAAAUCCUAUGGCUUAACCAUAGAAUUGCAGUCGAAACUUCCAGACUAGAGUGCGAGAGAGGUAAAGGGAAUUCCCGGUGUAAGGGUGAAAUCUGUAGAGAUCGGGAGGAACACCAGUAGCGAAGGCGCUUUACUGGCUCGUAACUGACGCUGAGUGCACGAAAGCAUGGGGAGCAAACGGG
rnacentral:rRNA from 1 species